GUUUCUAUUUCUGUGAAAAUGGUGCUCUAAAAAAUGUUUUUGACCUGGGUCUGCGUGGAGUUUGCAUGUUCUCCCCAUGUGUACGUGGGUUUUCUCCAGGUUCUCCGGCUUCCUCCCACAGUCCAUAAACAUGAAAUAUGGAGAAAAGGUAAAUUGGACACUCUAAAUUGACCGUGAGCUUGAGAGUCUCUAUGUGGCCCUAUGAUGGACUGGCGAUCUGUCCGUGGUGUGACCCCGCUUAUCGCCCUAUGUCAGCUAACCUGUGACCCUCAUGUGGAGGAUAAAGCUGUAGAAGAUGGAUAGAUGGAUGGUGGCUUUAAAAAAAACCCCAGCAAACCCUCAUACACAAUUACAGUAAUAUUAUAACUCUGUGUAUGUGUACAUACUUUGUAUUCUUUGUCUUUUCAUGUUUUAGUAAAUGUAACACCCACCUUUCCCAAGGACAUCACAGUUGACAAGCUCAACUUGCCAGUGUUCCUGACUGCAGUGCCGUGCGUGGCAGCAAUGCUGUUUGUGUGUGUGUUUGCACUUUAUCUUUUGCUGACUGAUAAGUGCCAAAGACCAAAUCCCCUAGUGAACAGAAAGACUUCAUCAGACAACAAGACAAUGAUGCACGGUGUGGUAGUGACUGGUCCUGAUCGCCGAUCUCUGCCACCGCUGCCUCCUGACCUCUGCGCACACUUCACGUCGCGUCAUCAAGAGUCUGUCAUCUCAUAUGUUGAUGUGGAUGCACCAGAUCACAUCUGCCAGUAUCAACACCUAGACCUCAGCCGCUCAGAGGAUCAUGUGUAUCACGUGCUUCAAAGAAACUGUGUACAUGAACCUUUGGGAAUCCAAAAACAGAUUAACAGUUGAUAUAUAAGUCCAUCAUUUCCCCCCCACAUCUGUCUGUCUAUCUACUUACUGAGAUGGCUGGGUGAGGAAAUUGUUAUAGUUGAUAUGAGAAAAGUUAAUGAUUCACAAUCUUAAGCUAGUAACCCGAUAUUUCUUUUGUGUGAUUUAUUUUGUUGUAAAAUGUUGUACAGUGUUUUAUGAUAAAUCUCACCCAAAUAAACAAAUAA